rnacentral:rRNA from 1 species
GACGAACGCUGGCGGCGUGCUUAACACAUGCAAGUCGAACGGGAUUUAGUAAACAGAAGCCUCGGUGGAAGAUUACUAAUGAGAGUGGCGAACGGGUGAGUAACGCGUGAGCAACCUGCCUAUGACAGUGGGAUAGCCUCGGGAAACCGGGAUUAAUACCGCAUAAAAUCGUAGAAACACAUGUUUUAACGGUCAAAGAUUUAUCGGUCAUAGAUGGGCUCGCGUCUGAUUAGCUAGUUGGUGAGAUAACAGCCCACCAAGGCGACGAUCAGUAGCCGGUCUGAGAGGAUGAACGGCCACAUUGGAACUGAGACACGGUCCAAACUCCUACGGGAGGCGGCAGUGGGGAAUAUUGCACAAUGGGGGAAACCCUGAUGCAGCGACGCCGCGUGAACGAAGAAGGUAUUCGUAUCGUAAAGUUCUGUCCUAUGGGAAGAUAAUGACAGUACCAUAGAAGAAAGCUCCGGCUAAAUACGUG